rnacentral:rRNA from 1 species
CGAAAUGCGAUAUUUAGUGUGAGUUGCAGAAUUCAGUAAAUCAUCGAAUCUUUGAACGCAUAUUGCA